rnacentral:rRNA from 4 species
UUGGUGCCUUCGGGAACUGUGAGACAGGUGCUGCAUGGCUGUCGUCAGCUCGUGUUGUGAAAUGUUGGGUUAAGUCCCGCAACGAGCGCAACCCUUAUCCUUUGUUGCCAGCGGUCCGGCCGGGAACUCAAAGGAGACUGCCAGUGAUAAACUGGAGGAAGGUGGGGAUGACGUCAAGUCAUCAUGGCCCUUACGACCAGGGCUACACACGUGCUACAAUGGCAUAUACAAAGAGAAGCGACCUCGCGAGAGCAAGCGGACCUCAUAAAGUAUGUCGUAGUCCGGAUUGGAGUCUGCAACUCGACUCCAUGAAGUCGGAAUCGCUAGUAAUCGUAGAUCAGAAUGCUACGGUGAAUACGUUCCCGGGCCUUGUACACACCGCCCGUCACACCAUGGGAGUGGGUUGCAAAAGAAGUAGGUAGCUUAACCUUCGGGAGGGCGCUUACCACUUUGUGAUUCAUGACUGGGGUGAAGUCGUAACAAGGUAACCGUAGGGGAACCUGCGGUUGGAUCACCUCCUUACCUUAAAGAA